GAUGAAAACGCAGUGAAAUGCGAUAAGUAAUGUGAAUUGCAGAAUUCAGUGAAUCAUCGAAUCUUUGAACGCACAUUGCGCCCCUUGGUAUUCCGAGGGGCAUGCCUGUUCGAGCGUCAUUAUCACCCCUCAAGCUUUGCUUGGUGUUGGGGCCUGCUGUAAUAGGCAGCCCUUAAAAUCAGUGGCGGUGCUUCAAGGCUCUAAGCGUAGUAAUUCUCCUCGCUAUAGUGUCUAGUGGUUGCCAGCCAGAACCCCCCAAUUUUCAUGAUUGACCUCGGAUCAGGUAGGGAUACCCGCUGAACUUAAGCAUAUCAAUAAGCGGAGGA
rnacentral:misc_RNA from 1 species